GAUGAACGCUAGCGGCAGGCUUAAUACAUGCAAGUCGAACGGGAUUCGGGGUAGCAAUACUUUGAUGAGAGUGGCGCACGGGUGCGUAACGCGUAUGCAACCUACCUUUAACAGGGGAAUAGCCCCGAGAAAUCGGGAUUAAUACUCCGUAACAUUGCGGUGUGGCAUCACACUGCAAUUAAAGAUUUAUCGGUUAAAGAUGGGCAUGCGUGACAUUAGCUAGUUGGUGAGGUAACGGCUCACCAAGGCAACGAUGUCUAGGGGUCCUGAGAGGGUUAUCCCCCACACUGGUACUGAGACACGGACCAGACUCCUACGGGAGGCAGCAGUAAGGAAUAUUGGUCAAUGGGCGCAAGCCUGAACCAGCCAUGCCGCGUGCAGGAAGACGGCCCUAUGGGUUGUAAACUGCUUUUAUCAGGGAAUAAACCCCCGCUCGUGAGCGGGGCUGAAGGUACCUGAAGAAUAAGCAUCGGCUAACUCCGUGCCAGCAGCCGA
rnacentral:rRNA from 1 species